rnacentral:lncRNA from 1 species
ACAGAUAAAGGUGAGUGCACACUGGCAUAUAGGGAAGAGCUGAGCCGGAGCCCCAGCACCGGAGACAGAAGCCGGGAAGGGAGUCAGUUAGCACCUACAAGACCAGCCCAGAGCAGCAAUUACUGCUCCAUUGGAGCAGCAGGGUCCGCUGGUAGAGACAGCUAGCUCACGAUGGCAUCUUGCAGGUAGCUGGCAAACGUGAAGGGCCAGUGCCUUUCUUCUCCAAGAGAAUCUUUUGCAGCAAGGAGCAGUCGGGUCUCGCGCCUUGGCACGAGACGGUUGCCCGGGUACACACACACACACACACACACACACACACACACACACACACACACACACCAGCCUUUCAUGUAAUGCUCUUACACCGAUCGAAGAUGAAACUGACAAGCUCUACCAGCUUCCUUGCGGAACCUCGGGAACAGCCUAGGAGCACAAGGGGAGCCCAGCCCCUGCUGUAGGGGUAGGGGCUCAGCCUAGAACCCCUCGGCUGCCCCGGAAUUAGAACAGAAAGGCAGGGAACGUUCCCUCUUUCAGCCCUAGACCAUUGGAAAAAAAGGAAAAAACACGUUCUGCUCACCCUCAGGGCGGAGAGAUCGAUUUCAUCCAGGCUGCGAGCUGGGGAGUCGCUCGCCAUGUCGACUCUUCGCGGGAGAAAUGGACCAAAACCACCCCGAAGCGUCUUCCUUGGCAAUUCCACCCCGGUCUAUUUCGCUCGCGUCCUCAUGCGGCUGUCCGCCAGAGAGGCCCGGGGCCCAGCCUCCCCCGCCCACCCGGGCCCCAGCAAGAGUCCGAUCCCGAUCUUCCGAGAGCGUCGAUCCGCGGGAUCCCGGAGCCCGACCUGCGCGGAUCUCCAAGCCCGGAGCCGCGGUGCGUGUGGGCUGCGCGCCCUGAUCGGCUAAGGGCGCUGGGGCUGCGUGGGUGUAUUUAAAUGGGACAUGCUUCUUUGCUUGUGCGUGGAUGGCGGCUGCAUUGGCUGUUAUAAUGAGACAUAUCAACUCCUCCACUCAGCUGGGAGGUGGGGGUGGAGAACCACACAGAACUGUCUAUCACCGCUUCCUGGGAGGAGUGGGGGGGGGGGGAGAGGCGUGGUCUCCGACUGGGGAGAGGCCGCGCUUCCUGACCGGGUCCCUCCGCCACUAGCCAGGGUGGGGGAGGGGUACGCACCCUUUCCGCCCCAGCUUUUGAGGGUUAAUAGUGCUGAAUCUAAACAGCCGUUUUUGAGCCUCUCUGUGCAGGAGCCUGAAUGCUGAAUAUAUAUUUUUAAUGUGUCCAAUUUGUGCAGUGCACCAAAA